CCUAAUAAAAAGUAUAAGCACGGUGCUGGAGAUAUUUUCCAUUGGUUACCAUUAAAACGUAUAUAGUUGACAUAUUAUUGUAUAAUAUUAUGCGUACGUGCAUAUACAUAGCCACCGACAGCAUUCACAUACAAGCAUGUUUUCUCGAGCCAUGUUGGUACAUGAACAUGGACAUACACAUAUUCUUAGGAACAAAUAAGAAAGAUAAAUGGAGAAGGAAAACCCAAAGCAAUGUCAGAGUUGACAAAACUGCAAUGGCACUUUAUAUGUGGCCCAUCGUCAGUGAGCUGUUUAUGCCUUGCCGGACUCCUCGCAGCCUGGUGGCUUGAAGGCGAUGAAGCUGACGCACUGCACCUGACGCAUGUUGUCGAAUCCGAUGAUGCGGACAUACGCGUCAGGGUACUCCUUCUUGACCUCCUCCACCUCGUUGAGCACCUGUGUGGCGUCGGUGCAUCCGAACAUAG
rnacentral:lncRNA from 1 species